rnacentral:rRNA from 1 species
UCAAGUUAUUAAGGGUGCAGGGCGGAUGCCUUGGCACUAGGAGCCGAUGAAGGACGUGAUAAGCUGCGAUAAGCUUCGGGGAGUUGCACGUAAACUUUGAUCCGAAGAUUUCCGAAUGAGGAAACUCACUUAGAGUAAUGUCUAAGUAUCAUUAAGUGAAUACAUAGCUUAAUGAGGGGAACUCAGGGAACUGAAACAUCUAAGUACCUGAAGGAAGAGAAAGAAAUUCGAUUCCGUAAGUAGCGGCGAGCGAACGCGGAUUAGCCCAAACCAAUAAAGUUUUCUUUAUUGGGGUUGCGGACAUAUCAUAACGAAGAGGUAUCGUAAUUGAAGAGGUUUGGAAAGACCCACCACAGAAGGUAAUAGUCCUGUAUGUUAAACGAGAAGACUUUAGAUAUGAUCCAGAGUACCACGGGACACGUGAAACCCUGUGGGAAGCAGGAGGGACCACCCUCCAAGGCUAAAUACUACCUAGUGACCGAUAGCGUAUAGUACCGUGAGGGAAAGGUGAAAAGAACCCCGGGAGGGGAGUGAAAUAGAACCUGAAACCCUGCACUUACAAGCUGUGGAAGCACAUUUCUUGUGUGACCGCGUACUUUUUGUAGAACGGGCCAACGAGUUACGUUAAGUAGCAAGGUUAAGCACUUAAGGUGCGGAGCCGUAGCGAAAGCGAGUUUUAACUGAGCGUUCAGUUACUUGACGUAGACCCGAAACCGGGCGACCUACCCAUGAGCAGGAUGAAGCGAAAGUAAAAUUUCGUGGAGGUCCGAACCCACGAGCGUUGAAAAGCUCGGGGAUGACUUGUGGGUAGCGGUGAAAUUCCAAUCGAGCCCGGAGAUAGCUGGUUCUCCUCGAAAUAGCUUUAGGGCUAGCCUCAAGGUGAGAGAUACGGAGGUAGAGCACUGAAUGUCCUAGGGGGUAUUGCACCUACCGAAGACUAUCAAACUCCGAAUGCCGUCAUCUUAUACUUGGGAGUCAGACUGUGGGUGAUAAGAUUCAUAGUCGAAAGGGCAACAGCCCAGAUCGUCAGCUAAGGUCCCUAAAUGUAAGUUAAGUGGUAAAGGAUGUGGGAUUGCACAGACAACCAGGAUGUUGGCUUAGAAGCAGCCACUCAUUCAAAGAGUGCGUAAUAGCUCACUGGUCGAGUGAUCCUGCGCCGAAGAUUUCCGGGGCUAAAACUUACUACCGAAGCUACGGCAUCAGUAAUGAUGGGUAGGGGAGCUUCCCAUACGGGUUGAAGCAUGACCGUAAGGACAUGUGGACAGUAUGGGAGUGAGAAUGUUGGCAUGAGUAGCGAGAUGUGGGUGAGAAUCCCACAGGCCGUAAACCCAAGGUUUCCAGGGGAAGGUUCGUCCGCCCUGGGUUAGUCGGGACCUAAGCUGAGGCCGAAAGGCGUAGGUGAUGGACAACAGGUUGAUAUUCCUGUACUACCGAUAACCGUUUGAGAGAAGGGAUGACACAGUAGGAUAAGCUAAGCACACUGUUGGUUAUGUGUGCCCAAGCAUUGAGGCAGUCAAAGUAGGCAAAUCCGCUUUGAUAAUGCUGGGAUGUGAUGGGGAGCGAAAUUUAGUAGCGAAGUAGCUGAUUUCACACUGUCAAGAAAAGUCUCUAUCGAGGUUAAAGGUACCCGUACCGCAAACCGACACAGGUGGGUGAGGAGAGUAUCCUAAGGCCAGCGAGAGAACUGUUGUUAAGGAACUCGGCAAAAUGACCCCGUAACUUAGGGAUAAGGGGUGCCACCAUCAGGUGGCCGCAGAGAAUAGGCCCAAGCGACUGUUUACCAAAAACAUAGGUUUCUGCUAAGUCGCAAGACGAUGUAUAGGAGCUGACGCCUGCCCGGUGCUGGAAGGUUAAGGGGAUCUGUUAGAGCAAUCGAAGCAGUGAACUUAAGCCCCAGUAAACGGCGGCCGUAACUAUAACGGUCCUAAGGUAGCGAAAUUCCUUGUCGGGUAAGUUCCGACCCGCACGAAAGGCGUAACGAUUUGGGCACUGUCUCAACAACAGACUCGGUGAAAUUGUAAUUCCGGUGAAGAUGCCGGAUACCUGCGACAGGACGGAAAGACCCCAUGGAGCUUUACUGUAGCUUGACAUUGGGUCUUGGUACUACAUGUACAGGAUAGGUGGGAGGCUUUGAAACCAGGACGCCAGUUUUGGCGGAGCCAUCCUUGGGAUACCACCCUUGUAGUACUGGGACUCUAACCAUAGGCCAUGAAUCUGGUCUUGGGACACUGUCAGGUGGGCAGUUUGACUGGGGCGGUCGCCUCCCAAAAGGUAACGGAGGCGCUCAAAGGUUCUCUCAGUACGGUCGGAAAUCGUACGUAGAGUGUAAAGGCAAAAGAGAGCUUGAUUGCAAGACAUACAGGUCGAGCAAGGAUGAAAAUCGGACUUAGUGAUCCGGUGGUUCUGCGUGGAAGGGCCAUCGCUCAACGGAUAAAAGCUACCCUGGGGAUAACAGGCUUAUCUCCCCCAAGAGUCCACAUCGACGGGGAGGUUUGGCACCUCGAUGUCGGCUCAUCACAUCCUGGGGCUGUAGUAGGUCCCAAGGGUUGGGCUGUUCGCCCAUUAAAGUGGUACGCGAGCUGGGUUCAGAACGUCGUGAGACAGUUCGGUCCCUAUCCGUCGCAGGCGUAGGAAAUUUGAGAAGACCUGUCCUUAGUACGAGAGGACCGGGAUGGACGUACCUCUGGUGUACCAGUUGUUCUGCCAAGGGCAUGGCUGGGUAGCUAUGUACGGAAUGGAUAAGCGCUGAAAGCAUCUAAGCGCGAAGCCAACUUCAAGAUAAGAUUUCCCACCGCAAGGGUAAGACCCCAGAAAGACUAUCUGGUUGAUAGGUCGAAGGUGUAAGUGCAGCAAUGUAUUUAGCUUAUCGAUACUAAUAGGUCGAGGACUUGACCAA